rnacentral:rRNA from 1 species
UACGGAGGGGACUAGCGUUGUUCGGAAUUACUGGGCGUAAAGCGCACGUAGGCGGAUUUGUAAGUCAGGGGUGAAAUCCCGAGGCUCAACCUCGGAACUGCCUUUGAUACUGCAAAUCUCGAGUCCGGAAGAGGUGAGUGGAACUCCUAGUGUAGAGGUGGAAUUCGUAGAUAUUAGGAAGAACACCAGUGGCGAAGGCGGCUCACUGGUCCGGUACUGACGCUGAGGUGCGAAAGCGUGGGGAGCAAACAGG